CAUGCAAGUCGAACGCUUUGUCUUUAAUUGAUCUGACGAGCUUGCUCUGAUGUGAUUUUAUCUGACAAAGAGUGGCGAACGGGUGAGUAACACGUGGGUAACCUACCUCUUAGCAGGGGAUAACAUUUGGAAACAAGUGCUAAUACCGUAUAAUACCAACAACCGCAUGGUUGUUGGUUGAAAGAUGGUUCUGCUAUCACUAAGAGAUGGACCCGCGGUGCAUUAGCUAGUUGGUAAGGUAACGGCUUACCAAGGCAAUGAUGCAUAGCCGAGUUGAGAGACUGAUCGGCCACAAUGGGACUGAGACACGGCCCAUACUCCUACGGGAGGCAGCAGUAGGGAAUCUUCCACAAUGGGCGCAAGCCUGAUGGAGCAACGCCGCGUGUGUGAUGAAGGGUUUCGGCUCGUAAAACACUGUUAUAAGAGAAGAACGGCACUGAGAGUAACUGUUCAGUGUGUGACGGUAUCUUACCAGAAAGGAACGGCUAAAUACGUGCCAGCAGCCGCGGUAAUACGUAUGUUCCAAGCGUUAUCCGGAUUUAUUGGGCGUAAAGCGAGCGCAGACGGUUAUUUAAGUCUGAAGUGAAAGCCCUCAGCUCAACUGAGGAAUGGCUUUGGAAACUGGAUGACUUGAGUGCAGUAGAGGAAAGUGGAACUCCAUGUGUAGCGGUGAAAUGCGUAGAUAUAUGGAAGAACACCAGUGGCGAAGGCGGCUUUCUGGACUGUAACUGACGU
rnacentral:rRNA from 1 species